rnacentral:tRNA from 1 species
GCGUCGGUGGUCCAAUGGCUAAGACUGCGGCCUUCCAAGCCGUUAAUCCGGGUUCGAAUCCCGGCCGGCGCACCA